AGUGAACGCUGGCGGUAGGCCUAACACAUGCAAGUCGAACGGCAGCACAGUAAGAGCUUGCUCUUACGGGUGGCGAGUGGCGGACGGGUGAGGAAUACAUCGGAAUCUACUUUUUCGUGGGGGAUAACGUAGGGAAACUUACGCUAAUACCGCAUACGACCUACGGGUGAAAGCAGGGGAUCUUCGGACCUUGCGCGAUUGAAUGAGCCGAUGUCGGAUUAGCUAGUUGGCGGGGUAAAGGCCCACCAAGGCGACGAUCCGUAGCUGGUCUGAGAGGAUGAUCAGCCACACUGGAACUGAGACACGGUCCAGACUCCUACGGGAGGCAGCAGUGGGGAAUAUUGGACAAGGGGCGCAAGCCUGAUCCAGCCAUACCGCGUGGGCGAAGAAGGCCUUCGGGUUGUAAAGCCCUUUUGUUGGGAAAGAAAAGCAGCAGGUUAAUACCCCGCUGUUCUGACGGUACCCAAAGAAUAAGCACCGGCUAACUUCGU
rnacentral:rRNA from 1 species